rnacentral:lncRNA from 1 species
AUGAUCUGGGAGGUCUUUGCCAACCUGAAUGAUUCUAUGAUUCUACGUAACACAGCCAAGAUUCUGUGUAAUACAGCCAAGGAGGUACCUGCUGUGAGGACACCUCUCCAUGGAGGGACCGAGGGAGCCCCCCGGUUACCUCAGACCGCGCUGAGGCGAGGCCCCGGCGCCUCCCAGGGGGGAGCCUCCCCUCAGCGCUCCGGCUUCGGGCCGCCCGCCUCAGCAACAGGUCUGUGCCGGGGGCGGAGAAGGGGGCUGUGUGUGUGUGUGGGGGGGACCCCGCUUCUCCCCGCGGCGUGCCAGGCCACCAAGCGGCGUGCCAGGCGAACAAAGGGGCCGAGCGCGGAGCGGGCUCCCGCCUUCAGCCAUUUGCAGCGCCCCGCCGCUCCCCACCCCCUUCCUCCCCCUUCCCCGCCGGCGCAGGCUCCGGCUCGCCACGGAGCCGCCGCCGCCACCACCACCGCCAGCACCGCCACCACUACGGCGGGCCCGAGGUGGGGCCGGGCCGGCUGCGGGCUGUGGGCUGCGGGGCGGGGCGGGAGGCGGGCGGGCAGCCCUGCGGGAGCCCUGCCGGGAGCGCCGCGCCGCUCGCCGCCCGUCUCCGCGCUGCCGCAAGGUGGAGUGCAUAUAAGGAGCAGUGAGAUGAAGAAACCUCUGUGAUGUUCAUGCCAAGGAGACUUUGGCUAGUGGGGAAUCUCCUUCCAGAACAGAUUGCAACCACUCUCUUCCCCUGAAAUAGCUGCACACGGUGAACAAGCGAUGAUAGUACUCCUAACUCUCUGACUUCAGAGGACAUUUCUUCCUCAUUGCCCAGCACAGUGUGGGACCGGUUGUCACAAAAGGAUGCCGCGCAUAAAAACUGCUUAGCAUUUUCAUAUAAUAACAGGAAAACCAGAACAGCUUCUCAGGCUAUCGAGGUGCAAUAUCCACACCGGGAAGAGGUUUAGGUUUUCACCGACAGCAUCUGACAGGGGAGAAGGAAGCCGGUGCAGGCUGGGCCGUGGAGGCUCAGUGCUCUGUGCUGUUCCCCGCAGGUGAUGGGCGUAGCGGUGCGGCCGAGAGCCGUCCUGUGCGGCACUGCGCAGGGCCGGAGCAGCUAGCCUGG